rnacentral:rRNA from 1 species
AACGCUAGCUACAGGCUUAACACAUGCAAGUCGAGGGGCAGCAUGAACUUAGCUUGCUAAGUUUGAUGGCGACCGGCGCACGGGUGAGUAACGCGUAUGCAACUUGCCUAUCAGAGGAGAAUAGCUCAUCGAAAGAUGAAUUAAUGCUCCAUAAAACAGGGGCACCGCAUGGUGAUAUUUGUUAAAGAAAUUCGCUGAUAGAUGGGCAUGCGUUCCAUUAGGUAGUUGGUGAGGUAACGGCUCACCAAGCCGACGAUGGAUAGGGGAACUGAGAGGUUGGUCCCCCACACUGGUACUGAGACACGGACCAGACUCCUACGGGAGGCAGCAGUGAGGAAUAUUGGUCAAUGGGCGAGAGCCUGAACCAGUCAAGUCGCGUGAAGGAAGAAGGAUCUAUGGUUCGUAAACUUCUUUUGCAGGGGAAUAAAGUGCAGGACGUGUCCUGUUUUGUAUGUACCCUGAGAAUAAGGAUCGGCUAACUCCGUGCCAGCAGCCGCGGUAAUACGGAGGAUCCGAGCGUUAUCCGGAUUUAUUGGGUUUAAAGGGUGCGUAGGUGGUUUGAUAAGUCAGCGGUGAAAGUUUGCAGCUUAACUGUAAAAAUGCCGUUGAAACUGUCGGACUUGAGUGUAAAUGAGGUAGGCGGAAUUCGUGGUGUAGCGGUGAAAUGCUUAGAUAUCACGAAGAACUCCGAUUG